rnacentral:rRNA from 1 species
UACGCAGGUUGCGAGCGAUGUCAAGAAUUAUUGGGAGUAAUGAGCUCGUAGGCGGUCCGUUAAGUCUGCCGUGAAAACCCGGGGCUCAACCCCGGGCCUGCGGUGGAUAAGGGCGGACUAGAGUCCGGCAGUGGAUACUGGAAUUCCUGGUGUAGCGGUGGAAUGCGCAGAUAUCAGGAGGAACACCGGUGGUGAAGGCGGGUCUGUGGGCCGGAACUGACGAUGAGGAGCGAAAGCGUGGUGAGCGAACAGG